CCCCUCACUAAUUGUGAGCUCAUUAUUUACAUCCUUGUAGGGCUUGGUUCAGACUAUGAUCCACUCAUAACCUUCCUCACAACUCGGCUUGAACCCAUGAAUCUCCAAGAGACAUAUGGGCAUCUCCUCAAUUAUGAGC